AUCUUGCAUUAAAAUUCUGUUCUUUAAACCACUGCUUUUGUAGGUCAACAAUCACAUAAAAUAUUCAUGACGGUCUUAAAUGAUAAGAAAAACCAGGAGACUGCAACGAUUAGAGAUGGAAAAGACUAUCACGGUCCUGACAAAGGGCUGCUCUUUAACAUUCUUCUUGAGUGCUCUUUUGUCCACCACUGUCGCAGGUAAUGGGACUUCUUCCCAAAGGAGACAUCUGUUCAAAGCUGAAUUCCUCCAAUUAUAAGGAUAUUUUUUCUGACAAUCAGGUUAAUGGAAAAUUUCUUACGUUUCAGCUCUCUUCAAGCUGUAGUGCCCUGUGUUCACGUACAUAAUUUAUUUCUUCCGUUGGUGUUUACCUCUCUCUGACAUGUAUUAUUCACGUCUAGGCUAAGUGUGCAAAAUACUUUGCAGAUGUUCAAGGAAGAUCCUCACUCUGAUUACAUUGUACCUUAAAAUACAUUUUAAAAAAUACACUUUAAAAAAUACACAAAGGUUAAAAGAAUGCAGUAUAAAUAAAUACUAAAGUAAAAAUCUAAUAGGCAUGUAUCUUCUUCGUUACUGUCCAUUUACAGUUUUGUGUUUAACAUGAAGACACAACACAACCUCACAGUCUGCUUGCCUUUGUCAUGCAUACUUGUCAUGUGUUUUUUUUAAAGAACUUCAGGAGAUGCUUCUCUACUUUUUUCAUGUGUUUGUUCACAGCUUACAUUGAAACAACACAAUUCUAAAUAGAAGCACAGCCUGUGUAAAUUGUUUCAUCGGUUAUAUAAUCAUCCUGUUAGAAAAGUGUACUGUUUUUCUAAUAUGAAAUUGUCUAUCUUAGUUGCAGACUUUGGAACUUUGUGUGUUUCCAGGGUCCUCUGUGAUGCAUGUUUAUAAACCACGAGACAGUCACUUCUUAACCUUCCUUUGGAUAAAGUUAGCGAAGUUGAACUUUGCAUCUCUGGCGUUGCUAAUCAGAUAUUAUUCAGGUAUUUCAGAUACGUCUAUUUCAGGUCUUGUCAGACAGAAGAGGGUUGAAACAUUACCAUAGCUGACGCAGGAUUUUGUGAGGAGAGAGAGUGAUAGACCCUAGCUCAUUUUCAGGAAAGUAGCUGGCCAGAGUGUCCAGAAUCACUGAGGGAUGUGUGAUGGCAGCAAACAAGAAACAAAAGGCAGAACUCUCAGGUGACUCAAGGAGGAGAAACGAUGUGGGAAGACGUAAGUGACCUGGGGAGGAGUCUUAAAUUUUCAUGGUAUAGGAACCGUUUCUCCACCACCUAGAUGCUCCCUCUUGCAAUGUGCUGGUCAUACAAGAUUGUCAAGCGGUGUCUGUUGGGCUCUACACCUCAUAUUACAACCAGAAUUAGGCCCUUUGAGUAGCAAAUAUCUUUACUGGCUGAGUGAGGAUUUGGAUGCCAUACUCUUCCCAGCAGUUCAUUGACAGGUUAGGGGUGUUGCUUUACCUGUACUGCCAUUUCUUUCCUCAUGUGUCUAGUAUUCAAUGGAGGGAUCGUGGUCUACUGCUUAUAUGGUCUGAAAAGUCUCUUUUGCUGGCAGUACUUCCACUCAACCACCACAUG